AUCCAACUGACGAAUCCCAAUUAGGACGAAACGCGCGUUCUGAAU
rnacentral:hammerhead_ribozyme from 1 species